rnacentral:rRNA from 1 species
AGGGUUUGAUCAUGGCUCAGAUUGAACGCUGGCGGAAUGCUUUACACAUGCAAGUCGAACGAUGAAGCCUAGCUUGCUAGGUGAAUUAGUGGCGGACGGGUGAGUAAUAUAUCGGAACGUGUCCAUUAAUGGGGGAUAACUAAUCGAAAGGUUAGCUAAUACCGCAUACGCCCUGAGGGGGAAAGCUGGGGAUCUUCGGACCUAGCGUUAAUGGAGCGGCCGAUACCUGAUUAGCUAGUUGGUGGGGUAAAAGCCUACCAAGGCAACGAUCAGUAGCUGGUCUGAGAGGACGACCAGCCACACUGGGACUGAGACACGGCCCAGACUCCUACGGGAGGCAGCAGUGGGGAAUUUUGGACAAUGGGGGCAACCCUGAUCCAGCCAUUCCGCGUGAGUGAAGAAGGCCUUCGGGUUGUAAAGCUCUUUCGCAAGGGAAGAAACGAUAUAGGUUAAUAGCUUAUGUUAAUGACGGUACCUUGACAAGAAGCACCGGCUAACUACGUGCCAGCAGCCGCGGUAAUACGUAGGGUGCAAGCGUUAAUCGGAAUUACUGGGCGUAAAGCGUGCGCAGGCUGUUUUGUAAGUCAGAUGUGAAAUCCCCGAGCUCAACUUGGGAACUGCGUUUGAAACUACAAGACUAGAAUA